UGCCAGAGUCCAGCAGAAUUACAGGCAGGGAAUACUGGACUGAAACACACGAAGAGAUAAAAACACAGAAGAAAGAUGACUUAGCAAACCGUAAAAGUGGAAUCAAGGUAAAUUGACCGCAGCAUUGUUUGAGACAGCAGACAGUGGGGAUUAGGCAGUUAUUCUACUAAGGAUCUGGUAUACAACUAUAAUGAAGUACAACAAAAGGAGCAUAACUGAAGACAAAAACUCAGUGAGUCACAUGGAAAAAAAGAUAGGGAUAAAAUAAAG